rnacentral:SRP_RNA from 1 species
GGUCAGGUCCUGCGCUAUUGUCCACCGCCCAACUCCGUCAGGACCGGAAGGUAGCAGCGGUAAGCGGACGGAUGAUGAGCCGCAACCGGCUUGAUCGGU